GGGGCAGGGCCGGGGGGGGUGCGGGAAAAUUUUUUUGCUUGGGGAGGCAAAAAACUUGGUGAAAGGAAGCUCACAAAUGUCCCCAGAGGAUGGCAGCACUUUGCAGCAGACAUGAAGGUUGGUGACCAGAACUAGUGUGGUUUGGGAUCCUGGGCAGGAGGAACUGCGGGGCUGCUGGACUACUUGUAGGUGCAAAGCACUGCAUCCUGUUCCUCUGGAGCAGCCUUCCAGAUGGACACACCGACAGGAACCGACCGAGAGCUCCCUGCAGCUGGAGAGGGAGAUGAGUCACUGGAAGGGUGAUAGCUGCAAGGCAGGGAGUCCAAGGUCAUAGAGAGGACCAAAGUCAUGAGCAAGGACUCGGCGCAGCACAGAGCUGUUCAUCGGGAGGCGCUCAACAAAUGAGCAGUUGUCUCAAAUGAUCAGAGAGGCAGCUGGAACUUGCAGGCAUCCUGCAGCGGCAGUAACACUGUGCACGGGCACAUGCAUGGCAAUGCCAGGGCACCUCACCUCCCUGCAGUCCUCCUGGGGGCCUCCCAGCAUUAGAACAGCAGCAAAUGGGCCUCAUUCUGUUGCAAUCUUCUUUGUGUUUCCCUUGUUCCCUGGAGUAUGUGCUGGUGCUGUCUGCACUGGACAGUCAUUCGCAGUGCAGCUUGUCGGCUGGUGUCACUGUGCUGACGUCAGUGACGGGCUGUGCUGAUCUACACAGCUCAGGAGCUGGUCUGUGCUAGUAAUGGGGAACCAAGGAAAAUGGACUGGGAAGGGUCUAGUAGGUGGCAGUGGUUUGUUCUGUACCUGGGGGAUGUUUUUGGUUGAAGCAAGACUGGGUGACCAGAGAAAUCCACAUUGUCCAGAGAUGGCUAAACAGAACUGGAGCUGGUGACCCAUAGCCCUGGCACCUAGCCAAACCAAUAAAUGUGUCUGACGUGCAGGGGCACCCAGCUACCAGGGCAGCAGGCUACUUCCUAGUGUGCUGCCGUCAGAGCAUCCUGUCUAGGGAAAUGUACCCAAAGAUAUUCCAGAAAGGCCCAUGUGUCAUAAACCGCUCGCAUCCUGAGCUUUGCAGCAACACUGGCAGCUAUUAGUAAAUGUCCUUCUAACCCAGAGCGCUAUUUCCUAAUAGCCGUCCUAGGAAAUGAACUGCCCGAUUGAAAGUACCUUUUCUCUUGUAUUGGGUUAUAGAUUUCCCCACUCACUAUAUAAUUAAAAAUAAAUUAAAAGCCUGUCAGCUCAGCUCGGCUUCUGGAGUGUAAUUACUUCCAGGAGUGAUGCAUUUAGCACUGACUUGACAAUUACUUUAUUAUGAAGCACUAAUCAUCCUAAAGGAAGACAAAGGGCUAGAUCUUCAGUAAUGCAAAUAGCUAUAGCUCCAUUGAUUCCAAUAGAAUGUCACGGAUGAGCAUUCUCUGGGGAUCUAGUCUAGAAUUACUUAGUUAAAUAAAUAAAUAACUAUGACUCAUCAUAUUAGAAUAUGCUGAAAACCUCAAGUAAUGGAUUCCUGGUGACACACAGCGGUGUCAUGUUGUACUGAGCAAUAAAUUACUUAGAAUGUUCCAUGUUCUCUCCUGCAGCCGAUAGAAAAGUGAAAGCACUGAUGAGUCACCAGUAUCUUGGGGCAUAAAGCUACUGAGUCCAGCUCACCAUGAUUCACAGGGUGACAGACCUGGAUCCUGAAAUAUCUGAGUGUACCUUGCUCCUGGACAGAACUCAUUGCAAGAUCAGGGUCAUGGUCAUGGUCAGCACUGGGCAUGGUCAUGGGCAG